rnacentral:rRNA from 1 species
GAUGAACGCUGGCGGCGUGCCUAAUACAUGCAAGUCGAGCGAACAGACGAGGAGCUUGCUCCUUCGACGUUAGCGGCGGACGGGUGAGUAACACGUAGGUAACCUACCUAUAAGACUGGGAUAACUUCGGGAAACCGGAGCUAAUACCGGAUAAUAUUUCGAACCGCAUGGUUCGAUAGUGAAAGAUGGCUUUGCUAUCACUUAUAGAUGGACCUGCGCCGUAUUAGCUAGUUGGUAAGGUAACGGCUUACCAAGGCAACGAUACGUAGCCGACCUGAGAGGGUGAUCGGCCACACUGGAACUGAGACACGGUCCAGACUCCUACGGGAGGCAGCAGUAGGGAAUCUUCCGCAAUGGGCGAAAGCCUGACGGAGCAACGCCGCGUGAGUGAUGAAGGUCUUCGGAUCGUAAAACUCUGUUAUUAGGGAAGAACAAACGUGUAAGUAACUGUGCACGUCUUGACGGUACCUAAUCAGGAAGCCACGGCUAACUACGUG